ensembl:snRNA U6 U6 spliceosomal RNA
GUGUUCACUUCAGCAGCAUGUUAACUAAAAUUGUAAGAAUACAAAGAAGAUGAGCAUGGCCCUUAUGCAAGGAUGGAGUGUUGCAUAUUUUU